rnacentral:rRNA from 1 species
CGAACGAAGCGAUCAGGAGGAAAUUUUCGGAUGGAAUCCGGAUUGACUGAGUGGCGGACGGGUGAGUAACGCGUGGGUAACCUGCCUCAUACAGGGGGAUAACAGUUAGAAAUGACUGCUAAUACCGCAUAAGCGCACGGGGAUGCAUAUCUUUGUGUGAAAAACUCCGGUGGUAUGAGAUGGACCCGCGUCUGAUUAGCUAGUUGGUGAGGUAACGGCUCACCAAGGCGACGAUCAGUAGCCGACCUGAGAGGGUGACCGGCCACAUUGGGACUGAGACACGGCCCAAACUCCUACGGGAGGCAGCAGUGGGGAAUAUUGCACAAUGGGGGAAACCCUGAUGCAGCAACGCCGCGUGAGUGAAGAAGUAUUUCGGUAUGUAAAGCUCUAUCAGCAGGGAAGAAAAUGACGGUACCUGAGUAAGAAGCCCCGGCUAACUACGUGCCAGCAGCCGCGGUAAUACGUAGGGGGCAAGCGUUAUCCGGAUUUACUGGGUGUAAAGGGAGCGUAGACGGCGAUGCAAGUCUGAAGUGAAAGCCCGGGGCUCAACCCCGGGACUGCUUUGGAAACUGUAUGGCUGGAGUGCUGGAGAGGCAAGCGGAAUUCCUAGUGUAGCGGUGAAAUGCGUAGAUAUUAGGAAGAACACCAGUGGCGAAGGCGGCUUGCUGGACAGUAACUGACGUUGAGGCUCGAAAGCGUGGGGA